rnacentral:tRNA from 1 species
CAGAAAAUAGUUUAUUUAAAAUAUUAAUUUUGGAGAUUAAAGAUAGAGGUUACUUUUUUUCUGA